ACAGCUGUGUUUGUUCAUCAGGGGCAUGAAGAAUGAAAGUAACUGUUUUCAUGAGGAAUCUUCAAAGGAGAGAAGCAGGCAACGUGGCUCCCAGGAAAAUGGCUUGAACAGAACCCAUGAGAGGAAGGCUGUCAGUUCAUGGAAGGGUUAUUCAUGAAUGCUUGUAGUAAAUCAGGUAUACCAGAAACCCUGGCCACAGAAAAAGCAGAGCCACACUGAGAGCUGACAGUGGCAAUGGGGACCCCACAAGGACAACUGUACUGCUGAUUACAGAACAACCAGUCCAGAUGGAGCAGGAGGACCCACAGAUAAUUUAUCAUUGAGGUCUGGCAGCCAAGAUGGCCGAAUAGGAACAGCUCUGGUCUACAGCUCCCAGCGUGAGCGACGCAGAAGAC